CAGCAGUCGCCGCGGUAAUACGUAGGUGGCAAGCGUUGUCCGGAAUUAUUGGGCGUAAAGGGCUCGCAGGCGGUUUCUUAAGUCUGAUGUGAAAGCCCCCGGCUCAACCGGGGAGGGUCAUUGGAAACUGGGAAACUUGAGUGCAGAAGAGGAGAGUGGAAUUCCACGUGUAGCGGUGAAAUGCGUAGAGAUGUGGAGGAACACCAGUGGCGAAGGCGACUCUCUGGUCUGUAACUGACGCUGAGGAGCGAAAGCGUGGGGAGCGAACAGGAUUAGAUACCCCGGUAGUCCCUGUCUCUUAUAC
rnacentral:rRNA from 1 species